UUGCAUCAUCUUCCAUACACCCUGGCCAAGCCCUUUCUAAUCUUUGGGAAAGACUUUUCCUUCAUGUUUUUGGCUAAAACAUUUAGCCUGAUAAACUCUAAUAAACUCUCUCCUUUUCCUAGCCUUGGCCUUUUGCAAGUCAAACAAGGAGAAUUCAUAGGCUACUUUGUUUUAUUGCUCUGCUGUUUUCCCUAGUCCUUAGACCAUGCCACCUUCUGAUCCCUGAGGCAAUGUCCACAGGGGUUACCUACCUGUGGAAAGGAAAGGAAAGGAAAAUGGAUAAGAAGAACAAAACAAGAACUAAAAGAAACACAGGCACAAGGAAGUCACAUGUGGCCUGCCCAGCUUUGCAAUAUAGCCUGACUGAGGAAGCCUACACAGAUAUGCCCUAGGAAUCAGACAAUAAAACUGAAAAACAGACUAUAUAUAAAUGGACAACUGAGAAAAGAAGAUAGAUGUGGUGAGGAACCAGUCUUCUUGAAUCCCAGAUGGUUUCUAGUGGAUUUAUCUUAGCGGUUUGCUGAACUUCCCCCAGAAACCUGCUCGGAAGUCACCUGAGCCUUAGCCAGCAGAGGACUCUUUUGAUCCAUGUCCUUAGGCUGUUGAGCUCAGCUCAGGGAAUUGCUCCAUCCAGACCACCACAGCUCUUCCAGAUUUAAACUGAAACAUUGCCUCUUCCUGGGUCUUGAACAUGCCAGCCUUCAGCCUGUAACUACACCAUUGGCUCUUCUGGGUCUCCAGCUUGUCAACUCACCCUGUAGGUCUUAGGACUUGUCAGCCUCCAUAAUUGGGGACAUGAAGAGCAAGAAAUGGAAACAAGCGAGCCCCACAGAGAGUUCGGAUUAAUGUGCAGUAAUUGCAUCACUGAUAUCUGUGUCCAGUCACAGUUGGCAUUCAAGAUUCUGUUGACUUUUACUGUUGAAGGCUUCCUUUAAGGGAAGCAAACACAAAUAAAAAGGCUGCCUCUCCACUGUAGCAAAGCUAAGUAAGAUCACUGUCCAACCCAGGAUAUCCAAAUUCAUGGUCAAAAAUCCAAAAGGUAAUGUGGGCUCAUCCAGCGCUUCUGGAGCAGCAGGGAAGCUUUGCCACAGGAUCCAGCAUCUCAGGGCACAGUAUCUUGCAUGGCUGACUUGAUCUCACUUUCUUCCUCGGAGCAGCUGUGUGGCAAUUCAGAGGUGAAGAGGCAGAUAAUUGGACAGUGGAAUUGAGUCCUGUGUGAUACAGAGCUAAAAAAGAAAUUCCUUCAGUAUCAACAGCAGUGUGGAAAGAACCCAACAAACAAAACUCUGUAUGUACAGCAAAUGAAGCCAAAGGGUGGCUUGAGAACAGUGGAGUUCUGCUUGGAUGUGACGAGACCACCAGCCAGAAAGCUCAGAGGCAUUACUCAUGAUGCAAGGCUGCUGUCAAGUAAUGAUUUAACUUAAAAAUGCCAUCUAUUCUUUUCCCUACCUGCCUACUCAGUACAUUGCAAAUUAACAUGAAAAGUGACUUCAGCACAAAUUGUUUAAUUUGUUUUUGUCAGGCCCGAGGUGUUGUGGAAACAAGAGACCCAG
rnacentral:lncRNA from 1 species